UACGUAGGGGGCAAGCGUUGUUCGGAGUUACUGGGCGUAAAGGGCGCGUAGGCGGCGCGUAAAGUCGGACAUGAAAUCAUUGGGCUUAACCCAAUGGCUGUGCCCGAUAAUUGCGUGCUUAGAGUGCGGGAGAGGCAAUCGGAAUUCUCGGUGUAGCGGUGAAAUGCGUAGAUAUCGAGAGGAACUCCAGUGACGAAGGUGGGUUGCUGGACCGACACUGACGCUGAGGCGCGAAAGCUAGGGGAGCAAACGGG
rnacentral:rRNA from 1 species